GGAUGAGCCAAGGUCAGCAUGUGUAAGAGCUUUCUUUCAUCCUAAGAGGCCAGAAGGGUCCAGUGCCAUCAUCAACUGCACUUAUGUAGACAGUGCCUCUCUCUGCUUCCCUUGCUAUAAGCAAGAACCUGGAAAGCAUCCUAAGCUCUCCAUUGGCAUUUGUUCAGCUAUGGAAAGAAAAGAGACCCUGAGAAUUCUACUGGACAAGAAAGCUAAACCCUUCUCCCUACACAUCAUAAACAGCCUGCUGACUAAGCUAUGCACUUCUGUGCCACAAGUG